GCAACGGUGUGUUUUGAUUCCACGAAAUAAAGAUUCGAUACCUGCAGGUAAACAAACUUAUCUCUUGCGCGAAAUCGCGUGAUCCCACACGGACACGAUGUGCACUCACUACCACCGACAAGCAAUAUUUAACGCGAAAACGUGCAUCGUAGUGCCAUCUAAACGACUAUCUAGUAAUGGCAGGUUUAAAACACAUUUUAUCAAAUAUGCAACAACUGUGUUGUUGUAUGAAAAUGCCAGUCAUAAACAAUUUAAUAAUGCCUAUCAGAUGAGUUAAGCUGGGUUUGUUCGUUAGCGAUAUUUUCUAAACUAAAAGAGAUAGAGAGGAUCGAAUGGCAUAUCCUUAACCAACGAAAAAUUUUCUAUAAGAUAGGCUAGUUAAAUUAGAAAUAUGAGCAAUUAUGUUCGUUAGCGAUAUCUUAUAAACUACAAGAGAUAGAGAGGAUCAAAUGGCAUAUCCUUCACCUACGAAAAAUUCUAUAUGUGCAUUAAAGUAAAGCAAUCAAUUGAAAAAUGCAAAGAGUAAUAUAUGAUACAACCUAUGUGAUUUAAAAAAAUUGUUAGCGGCAUUUCACUGGUGAAAUUUAUCGAGGAGUAUCCGACGGCUAACGGUACAUCACUCAUGCAGAAGUAACUUUGCGUAUGUUCAAUCCGCGUUUAUCACAUACCGAACAUCUCCUGCACUCCUGCACUUCUGCACUAUCGCACAAGGUAAUUGUGAACAAAACGUAAUAAAGCAAAGAAAAACGGAUUAACUUAAGGAGCCGCGAAGACUUGCGCGUUCAGAUUAGCUGACGGUAAGAAUGAGACUAACACCGUACGCAAACCAACCGCGUGUGCUGACAACGUGGGGAACGCACACCAGUUAGAUGAGAUAAGAAAAACUUGUUUCUUUAUAGACACUGGUAUUGUCCGUGUAGUAGUGUCAAAAUUGAAAACAAUUUUAGUAUGCAUUGAAUAUUUACUAUAUUUAGUUAUUACUUGAUACCAUUUCUAUUGUACCCGAUGAGUAAAUAGUACAAUAGGGUAGACUUAUGAAACUUGCUUCUGAACAUAUAGCAAAUUUAUUUAAUUCACAGGGCAAUCAUGUCUAAUUUUCCAUAUGUUUCUAGGUCGUCGAGGAUAAACUACUAUUUUACGGAAAUAAACGGUAAUUUGUAUAUUUAAUUUAAACGUUAAAGCAAUCAUACAUCAUAUAAAAAAAUAUCUACUGAUUGCAAUACUUAUCGAUAAUCUUUGGCUAAAAUACAAAAUUUAAUUGGAAACCAACAAGUAGUUACUUUAACUGAAAUUGAUACAGGUACAACAAUAUAUCGUUUUGAUUUUUACAAUUGCACAAUGAUCCAUUCAUAAUUAAACUACACUAUCACAUCGUCACCAUUAAAAUAGGAAUAUUUGAUAAUACGUACUUCAUUACAAUUUAAAAAUUAACAAAUAUAUGUAUGCUUUCAACAAAAUUAUACCUGUCUCUCCAAAAUUAAGUACAACUAACAAACAAACAUCAUGGAAAUCAUAAGAAAGCAUCAGUACAAUGGAUUGGAAUGUGUGAAUAUAUAAACUAUCUGUAGAAAAAUAUUUCUCGAUUAAUUAUGAUAAAUAAUUUGCCGAUCUAAUAGCAUCCGUCAAUAUCUUUUCAAUAAAACAAGAAAAUGAUAAAUAUAACAUGAAACAACUUGUAUAGAGGUAAAUGUACACGUAUUUAGAUUUUGUUCAUGCAUUUCAUCACUCCACUUAUACUUAUAGUAGUUGAUUAAUUAGCACGGCAGUCUUGUGGUGAUUACUGCAUUGAUAAUAAUUUACGGGUUUAGUUAAUUGUUAAUAUUUGUUAAUAUAAUAUAAUUUUGUCAUGAAAUCGUAGUAGGCUUGCGCUAAUGUGAAUGCGUUUCGAUUAAUUCUCUUCAUCAGAGCUAAGAAGCAUCGUCUUCUCCGUGUAAUUGGCCGGCGAGAUAGUGGACACUUUGCUCGGAAGUGGCGUCAUGCUGGAUGUGUCUACGCUGUUGUAUGUCGCAGGUACGACGCCGCCAGUGGGACUCAUCGGGUCGUCAGGAUCAAAAGUAGAUAUUCGCUGCCCGCGCGAAUUCUUCCCACCUGAAAUACAAUCAGGAAGAUACUAAAUCAUCUAGAAAUUCCAUCUAGACAUUGUACCUUGUGCGAUAACAUGUUCCAUUGAAAUUUUUAUAUACUUUCACGCAAAUAGUUUGUAUUUUAUAUAAUUAUGACAUUCUUAACUGUAUACUGUUCACAACAAUUGUAAUAAACAUUUAGAAAGCGCAAUAAAAAUCAUAAAAGA